AGUGAACGCUGGCGGUAGGCCUAACACAUGCAAGUCGAACGGCAGCACAGUAAGAGCUUGCUCUUACGGGUGGCGAGUGGCGGACGGGUGAGGAAUACAUCGCAAUCUACUUUUUCGUGGGGGAUAACGUAGGGAAACUUACGCUAAUACCGCAUACGACCUACGGGUGAAAGCAGGAGAUCUUCGGACCUUGCGCGAUUGAAUGAGCCGAUGCCGGAUUAGCUAGUUGGCGGGGUAAAGGCACACCAAGGCGACGAUCCGUAGCUGGUCUGAGAGGAUGAUCAGCCACACUGGAACUGAGACACGGUCCAGACUCCUACGGGAGGCAGCAGUGGGGAAUAUUGGGCAAUGGGCGCAAGCCUGAUCCAGCCAUACCGCGUGAGUGAAGAAGGCCUUCGGGUUGUAAAGCCCUUUUGUUGGGAAAGAAAAGCUGCAGGUUAAUACGCCGCUGUUCUGACGGUACCCAAAGAAUAAGCACCGGCUAACUUCGUG
rnacentral:rRNA from 1 species